rnacentral:rRNA from 1 species
UAAGACGAAGGAUGCAAGCGUUAUCCGGAUUCAUUGGGUUUAAAGGGUGCGUAGGCGGACUGAUAAGUCAGUGGUGAAAUCUCUCGGCUUAACCGAGAAACUGCCAUUGAUACUGUUAGUCUAGAGUAUAGAUGACGUUGGCGGAAUAUGACAUGUAGUGGUGAAAUACUUAGAUAUGUCAUAGAACACCGAUUGCGAAGGCAGCUAACGAAACUAUAACUGACGCUGAGGCACGAAAGUGCGGGGAUCAAACAGGAUUAGAUACCCUGGUAGUCCGCACCGUAAACGAUGAUUACUCGUUGUUGGCAAUAUGACCGUCAGCGACCAAGCGAAAGCGAUAAGUAAUCCACCUGGGGAGUACGCCGGCAACGGUG